GAUGAACGCUGGCGGCGUGCCUAAUACAUGCAAGUCGAGCGAACAGACGAGGAGCUUGCUCCUCUGACGUUAGCGGCGGACGGGUGAGUAACACGUGGAUAACCUACCUAUAAGACUGGGAUAACUUCGGGAAACCGGAGCUAAUACCGGAUAAUAUAUUGAACCGCAUGGUUCAAUAGUGAAAGACGGUUUUGCUGUCACUUAUAGAUGGAUCCGCGCCGCAUUAGCUAGUUGGUAAGGUAACGGCUUACCAAGGCAACGAUGCGUAGCCGACCUGAGAGGGUGAUCGGCCACACUGGCACCGAGACACGGUCCAGACUCCUACGGGAGGCAGCAGUAGGGAAUCUUCCGCAAUGGGCGAAAGCCUGACGGAGCAACGCCGCGUGAGUGAUGAAGGUCUUCGGAUCGUAAAACUCUGUUAUUAGGGAAGAACAAAUGUGUAAGUAACUAUGCACGUCUUGACGGUACCUAAUCAGAAAGCCACGGCUAACUACGUG
rnacentral:rRNA from 1 species